AGUGAACGCUGGCGGCGUGCUUAACACAUGCAAGUCGAACGAGAACGGAUUAUAGCUUGCUAUAAUUGUCAGCUAAGUGGCGCACGGGUGAGUAAUGUAUAGGUAAUAUGCCUCUUACUAAGGGAUAACAAUUGGAAACGAUUGCUAAUACCUUAUAUUCCUUUUUAUCAAAAGAUAAAAAGGGAAAGAUUUAUUGGUAAGAGAUUAGCCUGUAUUGUAUCAGUUAGUUGGUGGGGUAAUGGCCUACCAAGACGAUGACGCAUAACUGGUUUGAGAGGAUGAUCAGUCACACUGGAACUGAGACACGGUCCAGACUCCUACGGGAGGCAGCAGUGGGGAAUAUUGCACAAUGGACGAAAGUCUGAUGCAGCAACGCCGCGUGGAGGAUGACACAUUUCGGUGCGUAAACUCCUUUUAUAUAAGAAGAUAAUGACGGUAUUAUAUGAAUAAGCACCGGCUAACUCCGUGCCAGCAGCCGCGGUAA
rnacentral:rRNA from 1 species